rnacentral:rRNA from 1 species
UGAGGAAUAUUGCGCAAUGGGCGAAAGCCUGACGCAGCGACGCCGCGUGGAGGAUGAAGGUUUUCGGAUUGUAAACUCCUGUUAAGUGGGAAGAAACGACAAAAUAUAAUACAUUUUUGUAACUGACGGUACCAUUAAAGAAAGCACCGGCUAACUUCGUGCCAGCAGCCGCGGUAAUACGAGGGGUGCAAGCGUUAUUCGGAAUUAUUGGGCGUAAAGGGUGCGUAGGCGGCGUAUUAAGUCAACUGUUAAAACCUCCAGCCUAACUGGAGAUCAGCAGUAGAUACUGGUACGCUAGAGGAUGGAAGAGAGAAGUGGAAUUCUUGGAGUAGCGGUGGAAUGCGUAGAUCUCAAGAGGAACACCAAUGGCGAAGGCAGCUUCUUGGUCCAUAUCUGACGCUGAUGCACGAAAGCGUGGGGAGCAAACAGGAUUAGAUACCCUGGUAGUCCACGCCGUAAACGAUGAUCACUAGAUGUUAAUUCUGCUUGCAGAAUUAGUGUCGUAGCUAACGCGAUAAGUGAUCCGCCU